CUCGCCGCCUCGUACAGCCGGAUCUGCCCGUUCCCGAAGCCGGCGGCCACCGUCCCGUGCCACAGCGCCACGGAGGAGCAGGCUCCCCGCGUCGUCGGCGCUCACCAGGCCUCCAGCCCCGUCCUGCAGAGCAGAGCUGGGUCAGGCUCCCGCUGCCCCGGCUGCUGCAGGGCACGGCCAGGCCCUGCAGCGGGACCAGGUUAUAGUUUAACCGCUGCUGGUUUAACCAGGGAGCAGGGCUGGCACCGGGCGCCGGGGCCUCCGUCUGAACACGCUCGUGUUGGGCAACGCCGAUGACACACGGCGUGACUUUCGAGGACAGCUCUCAGGGAAUGAGGCUCCAUGUCCAGGCUCAUUGGGAACCUGUUAGAGAAAGUUCAAUGGAGCUGAUUACGGAGGGUGCAAGGAAGCGGCCUCGCUGAGGAAGUGGUCAAUGAUGAGGAACCCAACUGGUGCGUCUGCAGAGGUGUCAGACGAAGCUGCACUGAGGGAAGCCCCAUCCCAGCCCUGGACUGUGCUUCAACAGCGCUUCCCGUGCUCCAGCCCUUGGCCUGAUGGAUCCCGAUGGGUCCCGGGACCCCCUGAGCCAGCAGCGAGACUGUCAGUGAGGGAUCAGCUCCCUUGGGUUGAGCCUCAGCCCACCGAGGGACACGGGCACCGAGGGACACGGGCACCGAGGUGCUGGGGCAGCAGAGCCCAGCGGUGCCAAUAGAAAUGGGGACAACUGGGGGGUAGCUGCUCCCUGCAGCAGAGGGAACAGCCCUGGUGGGGCCCCUCAUGCAGAGACACCCCCAAACCCAACAGUCCUGAACCCCCCUGGUGCUGGGACCCCCGGGACGUACCG